GAUGAACGCUGGCGGCGUGCCUAAUACAUGCAAGUCGAGCGAACGGACGAGAAGCUUGCUUCUCUGAUGUUAGCGGCGGACGGGUGAGUAACACGUGGAUAACCUACCUAUAAGACUGGGAUAACUUCGGGAAACCGGAGCUAAUACCGGAUAAUAUUUUGAACCGCAUGGUUCAAAAGUGAAAGACGGUCUUGCUGUCACUUAUAGAUGGAUCCGCGAUGCAUUAGCUAGUUGGUAAGGUAACGGCUUACCAAGGCAACGAUGCAUAGCCGACCUGAGAGGGUGAUCGGCCACACUGGAACUGAGACACGGUCCAGACUCCUACGGGAGGCAGCAGUAGGGAAUCUUCCGCAAUGGGCGAAAGCCUGACGGAGCAACGCCGCGUGAGUGAUGAAGGUCUUCGGAUCGUAAAACUCUGUUAUUAGGGAAGAACAUAUGUGUAAGUAACUGUGCACAUCUUGACGGUACCUAAUCAGAAAGCCACGGCUAACUACGUG
rnacentral:rRNA from 1 species